UUAACCAUCUCUCCAGGCCCAGAAAUAAAUUUUAAGGGCUGUGGAGAUGGCUCAG
rnacentral:miRNA from 1 species